rnacentral:rRNA from 1 species
AAACUUGGAUUAGAUACCCCACUAUGCCUGACUGUAAAUUACCAGCCAAAAAAGUAUGAGCCCCGCUUAAAACUUAAAGGACCUGGCGGUACUCUAUAUCAACCUAGAGGGGCCUGUCCUAUAACCGAUAAUCCACGAAAAACCUUACCACUCCUUGCCUCCAGCCUAUAUACCGCCGUCUUCAGCACAUUUCCCAAAAAAUGAAGCUAAAUAGUCCCACACACUAGCACGUCAGGUCAAGGUGUAGCUAAUGGAGCGGAAGAGGCGGACCACAAUACCACAACACACGGAAACCCCAUUGAAACAUGAGGAAAAAGAUGAAUUUAGCAGUAAGNGGGGCCGAACGCCCCACUGAACCACCCGCCCUAGAGUACGCACACACCGCCCGUCACCCU